rnacentral:rRNA from 1 species
AAUCAACGCUGGCGGCGCGCCUAACACAUGCAAGUCGAACGAGAAAGCGGGGGCAACCUCGUGAGUAAAGUGGCGUACGGGUGAGUAACACGUGGAUUAUCUACCUUCUAGUGGGGGAUAACCCUGGGAAACCGGGGCUAAUACCGCAUAAGUCCGAGAGGAGAAAGCAGCAAUGCGCUGGAAGAGGAGUCCGCGGCCGAUUAGCUAGUUGGUAGGGUAAAGGCCUACCAAGGCUACGAUCGGUAGCCGGCCUGAGAGGGCACACGGCCA